rnacentral:rRNA from 1 species
GUUUAGUCAUGGCUCAGGACGAACGCUGGCGGCGUGCCUAAUACAUGCAAGUCGAACGAGAUCCCGGAGCUUGCUCCGGGGGACAGUGGCGAACGGGUGAGUAACACGUGAGAAACCUGCCCUAGAGACCGGGACAACCAUUGGAAACGAUGGCUAAUACCGGAUGCCUUCACAUGGUCGCAUGACCGAGUGAAGAAAUGCUCUGGCGCUCUAGGAGGGUCUCGCGGCCUAUCAGCUAGUUGGUGGGGUAACGGCCUACCAAGGCAUCGACGGGUAGCUGGUCUGAGAGGACGAUCAGCCACACUGGGACUGAGACACGGCCCAGACUCCUACGGGAGGCAGCAGUAGGGAAUCUUGCGCAAUGGGGGAAACCCUGACGCAGCAACGCCGCGUGUGGGAUGACGGCUUUCGGGUUGUAAACCACUUUCAGUGAUGACGAAAAUGACGGUAAUCACAGAAGAAGGUCCGGCCAACUACGUGCCAGCAGCCGCGGUAACACGUAGGGACCAAGCGUUGUCCGGAUUUAUUG